rnacentral:rRNA from 1 species
UACCAGCACCCCGAGUGGUCGGGACGAUUAUUGGGCCUAAAGCAUCCGUAGCCGGUUCUACAAGUCUUCCGUUAAAUCCACCUGCUUAACAGAUGGGCUGCGGAGGAUACUAUAGGGCUAGGAGGCGGGAGAGGCAAGCGGUACUCAGUGGGUAGGGGUAAAAUCCUCUGAUCCAUUGAAGACCACCAGUGGCGAAGGCGGCUUGCCAGAACGCGCUCGACGGUGAGGGAUGAAAGCUGGGGGAGCAAACCGG